CCGCUAUAAAUAGCCAUACACCAUGAAGACCCCCUCCCAUCCUCCAUCCUUCACACAUUUGGAGCACAAACAUUCACACUAAACAAUCAAGAGUAACCAAAAAUCCACCAUGAAGAUCUUCUUGGUCUUUGCCCUCCUCGUUGUAUCAACGAUCAUCACCACCGCGACCGCGCAGCUCGACCCUAGCAUCCAUGUACAAGAAAGGCCACAACAAUCGUUUCCGCAGCAGCAACCACUUACCCAACAACAACCAUUCCCGCUGCAAGAGCCACAACAACCACUAUUCCAGCAACAACAACCGUAUCCACAACAGUCACUUCGCCAACAACAACUUCCCCAGCAACAUUUAUUUCCGCAGCAACCGCCGCAACAACAAUUUCCAUAGUAGAUGCCACUUCCGCAUCAACAACAAAUAUUCCCGCAACAACAACAACCCCCACAACAACAACCAUUUUACCAAUAUCAACAACCAUUAACACAACAACCAUACACGCGAGAGCAACCAUUGCCACAACAACAACCUUCUGUGGAGGAAAACCAACAAUUGAACUUGUGCAAGGAGUUCCUGCUGCAGCAGUGCAACCCGGAGGAGAAAGUGUCAUUACUGCAGUCAAUGAUCCCGUUCCUCCGACCAAAGACCUCGCAACAGAACAACUGCCAGUUGAAGCGGCAACAAUGUUGUCGACAACUUGCACAUAUCAGCGAGCCGUCCCGAUGUCCGGCCAUCCACAACAUUGUGCACGCCAUCAUCAUGCAACAACAACAACAACAUGUGGAUAGAGGUUUCGUCCAGCCUCAACCACAACAGUUGGGCCAGGGAAUGCCCAUGCAGCCUCAACAUCAAUUGGGCCAGGGCUUAAGCCUACCUCAACAACUAGCCCAGUUCAAGUUGGUUAGGUUACUUGUGAUUCAGACCUUGCCUAUGUUAUGCAAUGUGCAUGUCCCAUCUGAUUGCUACACCAUUAGUGCACCAUUUGGUGGCAUCACUGCCUACAACGGUGGACAAUGAAAUCACAAGAGUUGUACUACUAUAUAGAUGGAACUUCAUUGUUUACUCGAUUGGACGAUCGAUGUAGCAAUGGAAAAAUAAAAUGUCAUGCACCAUCAUAUGCGUGACUGACACCAAUACAAGUUCAAAUUUGGGAAUAAAGGCAAACAAAAUAUUGCACGUCAUGCCCAUCUAAUUCAAUAGGAACUGCAAUCCAUCAAUUCCAUAUCAAUAUUUCACAAGUAUAUCAACUCAGGCUCAGCGUGCAAUGUGAAAAAAGGAGCCUCUUGAUCCGGAAAAUUUAGUUCAGGGAUCUCGCGCCCCUAAUCACCCCCAGCCACCAAAGUCCAUCGACGGCUGCCAGGAGGUAUGAUCUCAGGGUCAUGUCCUGGGUCGAUGAGUUGUACCAGCAUGUGUCGCCGUGUGACCUUUUCCAAAAAAUGUGUCCGUGUGUGGGUUCAUUGUAUAGGAAUGGGUCCCAGAGGGCGGUGUGUGUGCGAAUGGCUUUAAAGGCCAGGACCAUCUGCUUCGAGAGGCAUGUCAAUGAAUGAAUGUUCUGAAUCCCAUCUGUGUUCUUUUGGUCCUCACCUCCUUUCUCUGAUUCCUCACUCCAAUUCUCUCAAAAUAUCCCAAAUCUAUCCAAAUACCGAGCUCAUUUGUGCGAUCUCGAUCAACGACCGGGUCGUGACACUCAGCGAUGGAGCGGAGGGACACGUCCGAGGGAGGAGGCGUUGCUCAUAGGGUGGCAUGAGGCUCACACUGGCUCGAUCGCGGAUUUGUGGUGGAGGGCGUGGUCAUGGCCACGGCGUCAUCAUGUGCGUCCAUGUAUGGGCACGAGGCUGAGCCGUUCCUCCUCAGUACUGGCUGUUGCGCUAGCCUGGGCACCUCCUCGUUCCCAACCCAUCCUCACCCAUGCAGCCAUCGGCAUGGCCGCCCGUAAUUGCAGUGGUGAGCGGCGCCGGGAGUAGGGGUCAUGUCGUAGGGCGUCUUGUUGGGACCUACCCGGACGAACCUCUCUCUUUCUCUCUCUCUCUCUCUCUCUCUCUCUCUCUCUCUCUCUCUCUCUCUCUCUCUCUCUAUCGGACGGAGAUGGAAGAUGAAGAGGACACUGGAUUUUUCUCCGGCGACCAACGCCAUGCCGCACGAACGGGCCCAAUCGGCUUACUGCUGGCCGAUAGGCGCCAUUUUUCUUUUUCUGUUUUUGCUUUUAGUUGUUGUUUUCUAUUUAUUCUAGCUAUCAAAUGAAUUUNNNNNNNNNNNNNNNNNNNNNNNNNNNNNNNNNNNNNNNNNNNNNNNNNNNNNNNNNNNNNNNNNNNNNNNNNNNNNNNNNNNNNNNNNNNNNNNNNNNNNNNNNNNNNNNNNNNNNNNNNNNNNNNNNNNNNNNNNNNNNNNNNNNNNNNNNNNNNNNNNNNNNNNNNNNNNNNNNNNNNNNNNNNNNNNNNNNNNNNNNNNNNNNNNNNNNNNNNNNNNNNNNNNNNNNNNNNNNNNNNNNNNNNNNNNNNNNNNNNNNNNNNNNNNNNNNNNNNNNNNNNNNNNNNNNNNNNNNNNNNNNNNNNNNNNNNNNNNNNNNNNNNNNNNNNNNNNNNNNNNNNNNNNNNNNNNNNNNNNNNNNNNNNNNNNNNNNNNNNNNNNNNNNNNNNNNNNNNNNNNNAGUUUUCUCAAAUUGUUUCACAAAAAUGUGUAAACUAUUCUCCUCGAUAUUUUAACAUUUAUAAAAAAAUAAUCAAUUUGGAUAAAUAAAUUUAAACCCUAUCUAUAUUCACCAGGAGCUAUCAAAUAAAAUUGUAAAUAUGUGAUGUUCCAAAAAUUAGGAAAAUUUAUAUGUGGCUUGUUAAUAUUGCUAAUAAUUUAUGCAAAAAGUUUCAACACAAACCAAAUUCAUUUGAUAGCUAGAAUAAAUUGAAUACAACAACUAAAACCAAAAACAAUAAAAAAAAAUGGGCACAUGCACCUAUCGGCCAGCAGUAAGCCGACUGGGACUCUGGCUGACUAGAUCUUGACGGUCCCAAAUCGGCCAUCUGGUAGCCGACAGGGCACUUAUCGGCUUCCUCCUGGCCGAUUGGACCCAGUUGGCUACCAGAUGGCCGACUAUGUAUUAUUUUAAAAAUAAUAAUUUUAGAGUAAUAUUUCUUAAAAUUAAUUAAAAAUGUAUUAUUUUUAGAAAAUUAGCUCUUUCUUAGAGCUCAAACUCUGGCACACAUACAUGGAGACCGCCAUAUGGUGAGCACACAUACGCUCCCAGGGGCGACAUCUCUCUCCCUGGCUCCUAUACCCUCUACACAACAAUACAUGGGUUAUAUAGCCGGACUCGCACCAGGUGUUAGAGCAUCUUCAGCCGUUCGGCCCCCCAGAACGUCGAAAAAGCGUUGUCUAGGGCUGAACCAACGUAUCUUUUAGGUGUGGGGGGGAUUGUGUUUCCAGUCGCCGCCCCCAAGUCGCCCCCCAAAUUGGCGCAAACAGGGCGCAAAGUCAGCGAUUUGAUACAAAUUUACACAAACACAGCAUAAACUCGGUGAUUUUCAUUCAGAUUUGAACAAAAAAAUAGAGAAGAACUACACCUACCCUAGCCUAGCCUACUACACCGUUGCUGCCUUCUACAUCCUGAGAAGCCUGUAGAAACGGGUGUAGUCGCCGCCGCCGUCGUUGUCGUCAUCGCGCGCCCUGCUGGACGGCCCUGCUGCACCCCUGGCCAGGGUCGCCGACACGCGGUGGGGCGCUGGACGGCCCGGCCUCGUCCUCCUCGUCGCUGUCGAGGACGAUGACGCCGCCCUCCUCGCGCUCACGGCGCCGGGCCUGGAGCUCCUUGUAUGCUCGGCGCUGGUGGCACACCAGCUCACGGAGGUAGUCCUCCUUUGCCUAUUUUAGAGCGGUCUCGUCGUUGCGGGCUCCCACGCCGACGUGCUCCGGCUGCAGGCCCGGUGUCGGUGUCAAAACCGGCGGAUCUCGGGUAGGGGGUCCCGAACUGUGCGUCUAAGGUGGAUGGUAACAGGAGGCAGGGGACACGAUGUUUUACCCAGGUUCGGGCCCUCUUGAUGGAGGUAAAACCUACGUCCUGCUUGAUUUAUUCUUGAUGAUAUGAGUAUUACAAGAGUUGAUCUACCACGAGAUCGAAGAGGCUAAACCCUAGAAGCUAGCCUAUGGUAUGAUUGUAUGUUGUCCUAUGGACUAAAACCCUCCGAUUUAUAUAGACACCGGAGGGGGCUAGGGUUACACAAGGUCGGUUACAAGGGAGAAGAUAUACAUAUCCGUAUUGCCUAAGCUUGCGUUCCACGCCAAGUAGAGUCCCAUCCAGACACGAGACGAAGUCUUCAAUCUUGUAUCUUUAUAGUCCAACAGUCCGGCCAAAGGAUAUAAUCCGGCUGUCCGGAGACCCCCUAAUCCAAGACUCGCUCAGUAGCCCCCGAACCAGACUUCAAUGACGAUGAGUCCGGCACGCAGUGUUGUCUUCGGCAUUGCAAGGCGGGUUCUUAUCCAAUUUUCAAGUGUUCGUAAGCAGUGUCCGGCUCCAUAAAUGUUGAACCUCUUGGCUUCUGUGCCCAACAAGGGCUUUCUCCCACGCGUCGAAUGAAUACGAGGCACCAGGGCAUUUUUACAUUCGCCCCCCUAACCGGAUAAAUAAAUUGUCUAUUAAAGGGAUGGGGAUUCUUAGAUCCGAUCCAUACCAUCCUCCCCCAGCAAGAAUCCAUCAGAGCGCGUUUCGGAAAGAUCCAUUCCAGCAUGGCCGACCUCCGCAGCUCCUCCUCCCGCCCCCGUAGCCCUAAGCCCGGUGAUUGGGAGAGGUGUUCAGUCCCGUACAGUCGAUUAGUCGAACUGCAGACUAAGGGAUUUCGCCCUCCGGUGUAUAUGGUGCCCGUUUGAGCCGGGCUUGCCACCUACAAUGGCGGGGAGCAAGCGGAGAGCUUUUCAUGUCCCUCCAUGGGGGAACGGGUUUGCCUUGUUCCUUAUUUACUAAGGGGACUCGGAUUUCCAAUUCAUCCGUUUCUCCGCGGGCUCCUGGAGUUCUAUGGACUCCAAUUACACAAUCUCACCCCUGCGUCCAUUCUACAUGUCGUCGGCUAUGUUACUCUCUACGAGUUGUUCCUGGGAUGCGAGGCUCACUUCGAGCUGUGGAAAAGGCUAUUUUGCCUCGUCCCUCGCAUACCGGAUACCUGUCCAGUACCCCGAAGAAGUCUCCGAAGACUGGGCUUUAGAAUGGUUUUAUAUGGAGGACGUUCCUGUUCCGGACCCUGUUCGGCGGGAUCUUCCUAAGUUCAACAAUGCUCCUCUGAAGAAGCGCCGAAGUUGGCGCCCACGGAGCCCCCAGGCAGAAGACAACGGAGAAGUCCUCUAUCUGAUGAACCGAAUCAAAGCACUGGCUCAAUCAGGAUCGACAAUAAUCGAAGUUAUGUCGAUUUGCAUAAUGCGGGGAGUGCAGCCGAUUCAAUAUCGUGGGCACCCCUUGUGGUGUUAUAACGGGGCGGAUGACGCCACCCGCUGCGGGCGUAAGGGUCCGGACAAUGCUGCCGCUCUAGCGAAAAUUCUGUCCGAACUGUUCAAGGGUGAGGAAGAGGAGUUCACCCGCAUCAAGCCACGAGAUGGAUUCUCCAUGUACAAUCCUCCAAGCUAGGUAAGUUAUAUCUCCCUGCUCCCAUUUUCCCCGCAUUCUUUAUCGUAAGUAUUCACCUUGACACUUUGCGGCACGAACUGCGAAAAGCCAUAAAGGAGGUCAGCAGCCCUUCUCCACAACCAGAGGACCCUGACCGGGCCCUCGACUCCGAACUUGAAGAAGAUUCGGUUAUAUUCGUGGAGUUGAUAGACCUGCAGUUCUAUCAGUUAAGCUGCAACGAUGCCAUGGUGGCCAUUACGGCCGACUAUCCCGGACUGCUCCCUGCGUCACAAGUAAGAAAAACCAAAAAUCCCAACUCCAAAACUAGGAUCCCCGUUUAGACACUUCACCCACCAUAUACACAUGGCAUUUUACAGGGAAGGCAUUCGGGAUGCCCUGCCGAACCCACGUCAACGCGCCAACAGGAGGCAUUGAGGCCGGGUAGGCCAAAAAGGAAGGCGGUCGGGACGGAGCCGCGGGCGCAAAGGUAUAACAAACCCCGCUCCGUGGUUGUCGUCUUUCUCGAAAUGUAAUGACGCCCGUGUUUCUUUAACAGAAAAAACGCUCGCCGGAAUAUGUCCGGCGAUAUUGCCAAUCACGCUUCCACCAGUCGGGCGCCAGGACCGGACAUGGAGGCAGAAGCCGAUAUGGGGCAGGCGCCGGAUAAUCCCCCUACAGAGGAUGCAGAUAGAUUAUCUGCUACAAACUCGGAAGUGGAAAGCGCCAUGAAUCAUAGGCGCCGCCGGGCCGUACUCCGUGACGCUUGUUUCUCACCAGAUGCGUUUGACGCCUUCAAUUCUGGAGAGGCGUACCUCCGUGCUGCUCAAGAUGGUCUAGCCAGAGACACGGAUCAGUAUGUAAAGGAUGUACGGGUGAGUAAAUCUGACGAUUUAUAUAUAUCAGUAGCCCCUAAGACUUGAAACAGAUAGCAGAACUGAUUUAAGGAUCAUCUUUAUUGUGCAGGUUCUUACAGAGAAGAAUACUAGGCUGUCACAGGAGGUGGAGGAAUGCAAGACCCAACUGCGGCCUGCUGUGGCCGCAUUGCAGGAACCGAAAAAGUCACCUGCUGGUAAUAUUUCCUUUAAAGAAUGAUGGUUACCAUAUAACGUGUGGCAUGACUGCAGAUCUAACAACAGAUGUUGCAGAUGAAUCCGGAGAGAAUCCGGCGGACCAGCAUGUUAUGCGGCAGCUAGAGGCUGGCAAACGCGUGCUGACUGAGGUUAGGCGGGAGAAAAACAAUCUCCAAGAUGCCAAUAUUAAGCUGAGCGUGGAACUAAAAGACGUUCGGGGCCAGCUUGCAGACUCCGAGAAAGAGAAUAAGCGGCUUCGGCACGGCAUUUUCAGUAAGUGCUUGAACAAAUCCUUUUAAAGGAGUUCGGCGAAGAAGCCGACUAACAGCGUUAUGUCUGUAGGUAUGCUGACGGGUCGUCCCGCAGAGGAAAUGCCCGGGUCUGCGGGUGAUCUUCUGUCCGAGCUGUCACAUCUGCACGAACAAGUUCGGCAGGUGAUGCAGGGUGUUGCCCAGGCCUUGUGGCCGUCCGUCUCCCUGCCAGAGGGUGUUGUCGAGCUUGCGGAGAAGCUCAAGGGAGCACGGUGGCGCUUCCGAUUAUGGAAGAUAUCAGCCUGCCGACAGGGUGCCAGAGAAGCCUGGGCCAUGGUGAAGACGCGGUAUACCAAGGCAGACCCAAAUCACAUGGCCGAGGUCGGACCUGUGGGGCCCGACGGAAAAGAGAUCCCCAUUAGCUUAGUUUAUGGGCAAGUAGAAUUAGCCGCAAAGUAUUCUCAACAGGAUUAUAAGCUAGACCGCUUGUUGGAUGGUAUAGAAGAGGAAUUCAGUCAGUCUGCAUGACUAUGUAAUUAAAGUGACAUGUAUAAUGCCUUUUAGCCGGAUUGUAGAUCAUUUGUCGUUGCGGACCUUUUCGCUUCAACCUCCGGGCCCAAUAGUCCGGAGUGUAUCCGAAUACCCGCUCAGUUAUAUAAGAACCGGGGUAUGUGUGGAGACCAGGCGUAGGGGUCAUUAGCGCUUUAUCAGACAAGUGCCCAACUAGUUAUGUUAUAUUACAUGGGUAGUAAGAAACAUCUUCCAGGGAGAAUAGUUCCGUUAAGGGUUCCUUUCCCUGGGUAAGCAUGCCCUAAAGUGCAUGUCCGGAUUGCGAUAGGAAACACAGGAAAAACAUCUGGGGGCAGAUAUGGAUAAUAAAUAAAAAUCAUCUUUUGUUCACCGACCAAAUAUUCCCUUAAGAACGCUAGAUUUCGGCUUCACCCAGUCUGAGGUACACAUCCGGCUGACCCGGCAGUAACAAUCGCAGAGGUGCUCCCCUUAUGCCCUAGCCGAAUGAACGGGAAUAUAGGGCAUAAAUACAAGAGCCAGGCAACCUAGCUUGGCCAAAACUUAAAUCAUAUCGAUGCAUAUAAUGGUGAAAAAGGUACAUGCGGAAGUAUAACACAUGUGUGGGGCAUGAGGCCCAGAUAAAUAAUUUAAGCUUCUGUGAAAGAAGCCCCCAUGUAUGAAGAGUGCGGCUAGCGCAUCUGUAAUGUGCCAGCGAGGCACAAGGUGACCCUUGAAGGCCUAGAGAAAUAAUAAAAGAAAGAAAGAAAUAAAGAGAAACAAGACAGAUAAUGUAUAUGUGAAAAUGGACAAAGGGAGGGGACUAACAUAGAGUACGGUGCUAGACGUAGAAUCUUCGGAGCUUGGCCACGUUCCAUGGGUUCGGCUCGAGUCGACUAGUCGAUGCAUCCCGCAUUCGGUACGCUCCACCGGUCAGAACUUGGUCAAUAAUGAAGGGACCUUCCCAUUUGGGCUUGAGCUUGUUCUUUUUCUUAUCCGACAGGUGUAGAACUACUUCACCAACGUUAUAAGUUUUGGCCCGUACUUCUCUGCUUUGGUAUCUGCGAGCCUGUUGCUGAUAAAAUGCGGAACGGGCUUUUGCUACAUCGCGCUCCUCCUCCAGGGUGUCCAAACUGUCCUGCCGAUCGAGGUUGGCUUCUCUUUCUUCGUACAUGCGCACUCAAGGUGAGUCAUGAAUUAUGUCACAGGGCAAGACCGCCUCUGCGCCGUACAGCAUAAAGAAGGGUGUAUGUCCGGUACUAUGAUUCGGCGUGGUCUGCAGCCCCCAGAGUACAGAGUCGAGCUCCUUUACCUAGUGCGUGUUAGACUCCGUUAAGGAGCGCACUAAUCUGGGUUUAAUGCCGCUCAUUAUAAGAACAUUUGCUCGCUCGACUUGACCGUUGGUUUGUGGGUGAUAGACUGAGGCAUAAUCGAGCUUGAUGCCCAUUUUGCUGCACCAGAGUUUUACCUCGUCGGCCAUGAAGUUCGUGCCAUUAUCAGUAAUGAUGCUGUGGGGAACGCCAUAACGGUGUACAACCCCGGAUAUGAAGUCUAUCACCGGUCCAGAUUCGGCUGUUUUAACAGGUUUGGCCUCUAUCCAUUUGGUGAAUUUAUCCACCAUGACCAAUAAGUAUUUUUUCUUGUGGGUUCCCCAUUUAAGGGGUCCAACCAUGUCAAGCCCCCAGACCGCAAAGGGCCAUGUAAUGGGGAUUGUUUGGAGGCCGGUAGGUGGCAUGUGACUUUGAUUUGCAAAGAGCUGGCAACCGGCGCAGCGUUGGACCAAGUCUUGUGCAUCUGCCCGGGCCGUUGGCCAAUAAAAUCCUGUACGGAAGGCCUUGCUUACAAGAGCCCGGGCUGCGGCGUGAUGACCGCCGAGUCCGGCGUGAAUUUCUGCCAAAAGAUUCCGCCCUUCCUCUUCGGAGAUGCACCUUUGAAGGACUCCGGUAGUGCUUUUUUGUACAAUUCUCCCUCAUGGACCCUGUAGGCCUUGGAUCGCCGCACUAUGCAGCGUGCCUCAUUUUGGUCCUCCGGGAGUUCCUGUCUAGUUAGGUAGGCCAGGAAUGGUUUUGUCCACGGGGAAAUAAUGGUCAUUAUUUCGUGGGCUGAAGGUGUUAUUUCGGUGGCGGAGCCUCCGAUUGUGUCAGAAGUUCGGUAUCGGGUAUUUUGGCCGGGUCCGGACUGUUGUUACCGGUGUCCCCUUCCCAUACUACAGAUGGCUUGAACAACCUUUCCAAAAAUAUGUUAGGGGGACCACAUCACGCUUUGCACCGAUGCGGGCGAGGAUAUCCGCCGCCUGAUUGUUUUCCCGAGCCACAUGGUGAAAUUCGAGCCCCUCGAACCGAGCUGACAUUUUUAGGAUGGCGUUUCGAUAGGCCGCCAUUUUCGGAUCCUUGGCGUCGAAGUCUCCAUUUAUUUGGGAUAUUGCGAGGUUUGAAUCCCCACGCACCUCCAGGCAUUGAAUGCCCAUGGAGACUGCCAUCCAAAGACCAUGCAACAGAGCUUCGUAUUCCGCUGCAUUGUUGGAGUCUGUAUACAAUAUUUGCAAUACGUACUGAACGAUAUCUCCGGUUGGGGACGUCAGGACGACGCCAGCCCCUAGACCAGCCAGCAUUUUAGAACCGUCAAAGUGCAUGAUCCAAUUGGAGUAUGCGCCGUACUCUUUAGGGAGUUCGGCCUCCGUCCAUUCGGCAACGAAGUCGGCCAAUACCUGCGACUUAAUGGCUCGUCGAGGUUUGUAUGUUAUGUCGAACGGGAGGAGCUCAAUGGCCCAUUUGGCAAUCCGGCCCGUAGCGUCGCGGUUGUUUAUAAUAUCAUUAAGUGGCACUUCCGAGACUACUGUAAUCGAACACUCUUGAAAGUAGUGUCACAGCUUCCGUGAUGCCAUGAAUACCGCAUAUGCUAUCUUUUGGUAGUGUGGGUACCAUGAUUUGCAUGGAGUGAGGACAGUGGAUACAUAGUAUACCGGCUUUUGAAGAGGGAAUUUAUGCCCGUCUGCUUCCAGUUCGAAAACGAGCACCGCGCUUACAACUUGAUGAGUUGUCGCAAUAUACAAUAGCAUUGGUUCACCGAUGUUUGGCGCGGCCAGGAUUGGGUUGGUUGCCAAGAUGGUCUUUAUUUCUUCCAAUCCGGCUGUGGCCGCAUCCGUCCACUCGAAGUGUUCGGUGUGCCGAAGGAGGCGAUAAAGGGGUAAAGCCUUUUCUCCUAAGAGGGAGAUAAAGCGGCUUAGAGCUGCCACGCAUCCAGUUAACUUCUGGAUUUGUUUGAGGUCUGUUGGGGUAGCCAACUAUGAUAAAGCUCGGAUUUUGGCUGGAUUAGCUUCAAUACCUCUACUGGAGAAAUGAAACCCAGGAGCUUUCCGACUGGUACGCCGAAAACGCAUUUUUCCGGAUUGAGCUUGAUGUCGUAUGUUCGGAGGUUGUCGAAUGUGAGCCUCAAGUCGUCUAUCAAAGAGUCGACGUGUUUGGUUUUGACGACCACAUCGUCUACGUAUGCCUCUACUGUUUUGCCGAUUUGUUUCUCCAGACAUGUCUGAAUCAUGCGCUGAUAUGUUGCGCCGGCGUUUUUGAUCUCAAAAGGCAUUGUGUUAAACUAGAAGGGACCGUAUGGUGUGAUGAAUGCCGUUGCGGCUUGGUCGGACUCCGCCAUCUUGAUUUGGUGGUAACCGUAGUAUGCGUCGAGGAAACACAAUGACUCGUCUCCUGCGGUAGCAUCAAUGAUUUGAUCGAUGCGUGGGAGGGGGAAGGGAUCCUUUGGGCAAGCUUUAUUGAGGUCUUUGAAAUUGACACAAAGGCGCCAGGAUUUGUUCUUCUUUGAUACCAUCACCAGGUUUGCUAGCCAGUCUGGGUGUUUUAUUUCUCUGAUGAAUCUGGCCUCCAAUAACUUGGCUAGUUCCUCUCCCAUGGCCUGUCUCUUAAAUUCGGAGAAACGCUGAAGAGCUUGCUUGACCGGCUUAAAUCCCUUUAGGAUAUUGAGGCUAUGCUCGGCCAGCCUACGUGGGAUUCCUGUCAUGUCUGAGGGAUGUCAGGCGAAUAUGUCCCAGUUCUCGCGCAGGAACUCUCAUAAUGGGGUGUCCACAUCGGAGUUUAACUGUGCCCCGAUAGAGGCUGUUUUUGUAUGGUCCGUUGGGUGGACUUGGAAUUUGACUAUUUCAUCUGCUGGUUUAAAAGAGGUGGACUUCGAUCUCUUGUCGAGUAUCACGUCGUCCCUGUCCACCGUGGAUCGUAGCGUGGUUAAUUCCUUGGCCGAGAGAGCUUCGGAUAAUGCCUCGAGGGCCAAUGCGGCUAUUUUGUUUUCGGCAUGGAGCGCUGUGUCCGGAUCACUGGCGAGAGUGAUGAUUCCGUUGGGCCCGGGCAUUUUAAGCUUCAUGUACCCGUAAUGGGGUACGGCUUGAAAGAUUGUAAAUGCCUCCUAUCCUAAAAGAGCGUGAUAGCCACUGCUGAAUGGGGCCACUUGGAAUGUUAUUUCUUUGGACCUGUAGUUAUACGGCGUGCCGAAUACCACGUCUAGUGUGAUUUUCCCAGCACAACGUGCUUCUCAACUGGGGAUAAUUCCUCUAAAGGUUGUGCUACUUUGCUAGAUGUGGUUCCAAUCUAUUUCCAUCUUUUGAAGAGUUUCCUCAUAAAUGAGGUUUAGUUCGCUGCCGCCGUCCAUGAGUACUUUGGUGAGUCGAAAGCCGUCCACGAUUGGACUGAGGACCAGUGCGCCUGGUGCUCGGGCUGUUCAGAAUUUAGGUUCGUCACUGGCAUUGAAGGUAAUAGCCGUGUCACUCCAUGGAUUUAUUACUACUACGUGGCAGAUUUCGGCCAUGCCGCGGAGUGUUCGCUUGUGCCUAUUAUUUGACGCGAAGGUCUCAAACACUGUUAACACCGUAUUGUUAUCCACGGGAUGGUGGUCUGUGGUAUUUGGGAUAAGAAGAUCCUCACCACUUUUUGCCACCUGCCGGAGUAUCCAACAUGCUCUGAGGCUGUGCGUUGGUAUUAUAUCCGCUGUACUAUGAAUUUUGCAGGGUUCGUUGAGCCAUCCCUCUAGUACGGUUCCAUGCCCUGUAGAGGGUUUUUGUUUCUUUACAACUGGCUCGGGGUGUCUUAUGAUAGUGCACCCUUUUACUUCAGACUGGGUGUAUAUUCAGAGCCGGAUUAUCCCAAAAUUUCGUUUCGGUUUUCCAGGCGCUUUCCAUCUCACAGUACUUUCGUACUAUGGACGCCAAGUCAGCGAAGCGUGAUAUGUCACGGCGACUUAGGGCGUUAAGGAUUCCCUUGUCCGUGCAAUUAUUGCAGAAAAGUGAGACUGCAUCUUCCAGGUGACAGUCCUUAACCUUGUUCAAUAGAACGAGGAAUCUGGCCCAGUAAUGAUGUACUGUUUCAUGGGGCUCUUGCCUGAUGUGGGAAAGAUCGUUUAUGUUUGGGUGGGUGCGUGGAAUUGAAUUCUAACCCUUACCCGAUCUGGGAUCCAGGGGCCGAGGAGUUCCUAAUUUUGGAAGUUCCGGUUCUGGGGUGCUACCCGAUAAUCCUGGCCCGCUGCCUGACUCUAAGUUCAGGGAUUGGAUGUUGUCCUCCCGCGAACGGGCGUCCAGCUCGGAGAGCUCGGGAAUCCGGACAUAGUUGGUCCUCAAGAUAGAGGAAAGGUCGCCGCAUUGUUCCUCCAUCACCGCAAUAUGAUGGGUGACCGUUGGAGAGUUAAUCUCCCUUUGAUCGGGUUUAAACCCAAUCCGGUCAUAGUCCGUAGCGACUCCCAAGGCGGCGAUGCGAUCCAAGAGCUCGUUUAAGGAGGCGAGCUCCACUGGAUCCAUCUGUUCGGCGAGUGCCGAUUUGACGUGGAGGCUGUUUUUGAUGACCCGAGAAGCCAUCGUCGGCGCGGCGGCCGAACAGGCGGUCAUGAUGAAACCGCCUAGCCGGAGAGUUUGGCCGACAGCCAAAGCUCCCCUAACAGUAGUACCGUCUUUAAAGACGAGACCAGAAAUCCUUCCUUCUGGCGACGGCACAGAGGAACUCUCAAUGAAAGCACCAAUGUCGGUGUCAAAACCGGCGGAUCUCGGGUAGGGGGUCCCGAACUGUGCGUCUAAACCGGAUGGUAAUAGGAGGCAGGGGACACGAUGUUUUCCCCAGGUUCGGGCCCUCUUGAUGGAGGUAAAACCCUACGUCCUGCUUGAUUUAUUCUUGAUGAUAUGAGUAUUACAAGAGUUGAUCUACCACGAGAUCGAAGAGGCUAAACCCUAGAAGCUAGCCUAUGGUAUGAUUGUAUGUUGUCCUACGGACUAAAACCCUCCGGCUUAUAGACACCGGAGGGGGCUAGGGUUACACAAGGUCUGUUAUAAGGGAGAAAAUAUACAUAUCCGUAUUGCCUAAGCUUGCCUUCCACGCCAAGUAGAGUCCCAUCCGGACACGAGACGAAGUCUUCAAUCUUGUAUCUUCAUAGUCCAACAGUCCGGCCAAAGAAUAUAAUCCAGCUGUCCGGAGACCCCCUAAUCCAGGACUCCCUCACCCGGCUCGGGGUUCGUCCGGACUAGGCAGAGGGAGCGUGGGGAGGGACGGGAACCCUCGUUGAUGACAAGGGCGCCGCUGCGGGUGCGGCGCCGGAGCAUCGUCUCCUCCGGCUCCGGCUUGACGGGGCAGAGUGCCGGUGAGCCGGAGCAGACGGAGUCGGAGCCCGACGACGAGGACGCCCCUGGCUCCAUUCGCCGUGGCGUCCAGGAGCUGCCACGGUGGCGAGAGAAGGACGGGCGAGGCGGGUACUCGAGGCGCGGCAGUUGGCGGUCUCGAUGUAGUCGAGGACGGCCUCGAGCGUGCGGCCUAGCACGCCCCACCACUCGCGCCGCCCGUCGGCGUUAAUGUGACCGCAGGGGAUGACGCCGUUGGUGGAGGCGAUCUGUUCUUCACGGUGGCGCGCGAAGUACAUGGUCCACAUCGUGUGGUUGUCGGCGGCGUACCUUGACUUGUUCCGCUGCUCCGGCGGCAGGGACGAGCGGAUGCGGGCGAUCUCGGCCCGCCGUGCCGCCCUUCGGGCACCGGUGGCACCGGGACGCCGGCGGCGCUCAGCCUCCACGUACCCGGCACACGCAUGUUCGGGGGCGCCGGAUACUCGGCCUCGUAGAGGAGGCACGCCUCUGGCUCUUGGAGAUGGCGGCGGACGAAGCCGUUCGUCGCCGCGCCGUCGCUAGGGAACCUCUCAACCAUGUGCUCGUCGCUACGAUUGCGCGAGGACAUAUUUCCCUUCUUGAAAACACUGCUGCCGAAGAAGUCGACUUAGUUUUAUUUCAUAUCUUGUAAUGGUUUGACCAUGGUUGCCUUUGUUUUAUAUUCUACUGAAUAAUUAAUAAAUAUGGUUGUGUGCAUCACAAUGAUGCAGAGGUUAACCUACGUUUAAAUAAAAUCAACCUAGUGUCUAGCAGUAUUCUCCAACAGAAACUACAAUCCAUCAUUUUUCUUUUGCACAUCUUCCCCAUCUAAUUUCCGUGUUGAUGAUUGUACUAGUUGAUUUUACUCUACACUUGUCAGCCUGUAUAACUAGUUGAUAUUAUUGCACGCAAUAGGAAGGAAUGUAGUGCAUAUAGGUAAGUCUGUAGCAAUCCUUUUCUAAUAAAUAUUGUACUACUAAAGUAAGUUGUGAAGACUAAUUGCUAUUCAACACUUUGAUGGCAAUGCUAAGGAGUUGUGUGAAAAUCUUGAAUGAUCUGCUUCUUGUAUCUGAUUCUAAAUAAAUAGUAUACGUUAGAUUUUAUUGUAAAGAUCAGCUGCUUCUAUCCUUAUACUCCAGCAUCUUCCUUUCUGAAAGUGUGUUCAAUAAAUAUUUCUCCACGAAAAUGAACUUAAGUGGACAGAAAAUAUUUUGCAGCUGUUCACUACAAAGGAUAUUGUGCAACUAUCCAUUCAGAAGAAAAAAUAUGUUCUACAAAACAUAACUCUGUCUAAAUUUAGCCAGUUAAGAUCCCAUCUGAGAUGGUUAAGUACAACAGCCAAAAUUGCGUUGCUUGUACGAUCCUGGUUACUUUAGCCAUUAUUAGGGUACAUGGAGUAUAACUAGACAGUUUCAGCGCCUCUUCUUGUCUGCUUUUGCAUCACCAGAUUUCGAUGGGCUUGCGACCAGGUAGAUAAACACGCCAACAAAGGAAACAACAGAUGCCAACGUCCCAUAUUUCCCAACAAUGCUCUGCAGAUGAAUGGUUGAUCCGUCAGUCGCUAAAUGACGGUUGAUUCAGGCUUCCUAUUUGGAUGUAAUACUAGAUAAGUUGGUCCAAGAACAGAGUAUAGUGAAACUACCUUAGCCUGAAAUGUUCCAUGUGCCAAAUUAAGGUGGAUACCAAUGAGUGAAGUGUCAGCACCAAAGAUAUAGCAUAUCCAAAUAUUAGAAUCAUGAAAGGUUUCGUUUUGAACUGAAUGCAGCGAUAUGAUAACUAACCAAUUCAAAUUUCUGCUGCGGAGGUUUCUCAGCAAGAAUAUCAAAUGGAAGGACGGGCGUAGAAUAUGCCUCCUUCAAUAAAGAAAAAGAAGCUAUUAAGUUCAGGGAACAUAAUAUUAGAAAAUAGCACAGCACAUAAUGAGAAUUAGCAGAAAAUAUUCAGCUUCUCACCAGUCACAUGUUCUACUAACAUAUAAAACAAUCAGAAUCCUGAUUGAUUUUUGGUACAGUGUGACCAAUUAUCUGAACAUGCCAGUUGAGUUUUCUAGUCAGACAUAAAGCUUUCACCGCAUAAGUCGCAUAAACUGGAACAAAGCUAGAUUGCAGCCUUCAUGACUCAAGAUGGCAACGGGGACGAAACCCAUCGGGUUUUGCCUUCCCAAACCCAUCCCCACGAAAAAAUCAUAAACUCGUCCCCGUCCCCAUCACCGUGUGCGGGGCUAGUUUUCUGCCCGUCCCCUAAACCCAUCGGGUUUCAGGGAACCCACGGGGAACCCACGAUAAAAUCAAAAUAUUUAAACAAACAUAGUGGUGACAAAGAAUAACACUUUAGCAGCAAAACAGGCACAUUUCAGCAGCAUAAAUUGAGUAAAUUUCAACAAAAAACAAUAGUAGAUGGUUCAACAGCUAUAUAAGUUCUGAAAUAGAACUUUUAGUUCACAAAUCACUUUAAAGUUGGAAUCAUUAUGGCAUCUUUCACAUCUCCAAGCCUCCAAACAAUCAUCUUCAAAUCUUCCAAUGCCAAAUCAAAGUGCCAAGUACUAGAGAAGAUCAAAACUCGCUCAAGCUAAAGUUAAACAUGAGAAAAAUAUGCAGAUUAGUAUAUGAAAUUUGCAAGUACUUGUACUUCAGCUGCAUUCCCUCUUGAAUGUCUUGAAGACAACUUCAAAAGCUUUGUCCUUAUUCAUUGUCAGCAUAUAUGAGAAUCAUAUAAGUAGUAAUGAACAUCUUAUGAAACAUUGCAGCAAGAUAAUGAUAAACUUUAUGAUGAUAUGUAAAGAAAGACACACCUUUAUAUUUGUUUCUUAUCCAAUCUUGUGAACACAUCAAGGCCUCUUAGAUUUCGGGGGUAAGAUGACUACGGUGAUAAUAAAAAUAAUGUAAUUUCGCGGGUAUUGCCGGGUUUCGGCUUCGAGGACUACCGAAACGGGUGUAAACCCACGAAACGUGUCGGGUUGUAUAAUGUGCCCAACAACAGCCCCGCGGGGAUGAAAAGAUGCCCAUCCCCGUCCCCUAAUAAGGUAAAAACAAAUGGAGACGCGGGUUUCGGGGCCCCAUUGCCAUCUUGAACCACCUCCGUCGAGAGCCGCUUGACGGCCACCUCCGAACGCGCGGCUGCAGCCCAUCCAUGGUGUCCGUCUAGAGCCUUACGAUGGCCACCGUCAAGCCGGGAGCACGGGAUCCACACCUCCGACGGGCAACGAGCAGUGCCAACCCUCCUCGUAGUCUGAUGAGCCACCGUGGGUUCACUGGCCACAGUCCUGUGGCUCCCGGUUGAUCGGGGGAUGAGCCAGCUAGCCCGAGGUGAACUGGACGAUGCGUGCACGCCAAGUGACCACAGCACCGGCUGGUCUCUUAGGCCAACUACCACGCGUGCAGGCAGUGCCGUUUCACCAUGUGUCCGCCGCGGCUGUUGAUGACCUCCCGCAUCAAUCUGCCGGUCGGCUGGAUACGGCGACCCUGCGAUGCACACAUUGGGAGGAGGUGAGCGGGCCGUGGUGGGGAGCAGGAGCAGCUGUGGUGUGAAAGGAUUGCCGCUUCCAACGCAAAUCACACCAAAAUCCCUCAGAUGAGCUUAACGCAGUUCACUUCGCCAUUCUUUUGCAAUGUUUUUUGAUGAUUCUGUGAUCCUGACCAACCACUUCUGUUUAAUUCGAUACAGUCCUACAAGACUCAAGAUGGCAACGAGGACGAAACCCAUCGGAUUUUGCCUUCUUAAACCCAUCCCCACGAGAAAAUCGUAAACCCGUCCCCGUCCCCAUCACUGUGUGCGGGGAUAGUUUCCCGCCCGUCCCCUAAACCCAUCGGGUUUCAGGGAACCCACGGGGAACCCACGAGAAAAUCAAAAUAUUUAAACAAACAUAGUAGCGACAAAGAAUAACAUUUCAGCAGCAAAACAAGUAUAUUUCAGCAGCAUAACUUGAGGAAAUUUCAACAAAAAACAAUAGUAGAUGGUUCGACAACUAUAUAGAGUGUAUUUCAGCAGCAUGAUACCACAUUUCAGCAACAAAGAUGAUUAGAUUACAGCAACAAGGAUGAUCGUAUUUCAGCCAUACAUGGUUCAACAACAUGUGCAAUUACACAAGUUCUAAAAUAGAAUUCUUGGUUCACAAAUCACGAGCACAAACGAGACGGAGCAAGCGAUACUGGCCACCCAGCGAGGGGUUGGUUUGGCCUUCUAUGUUGGGGGUGGGGGCUCGGUAGCUUUGGGUUGGGCCGCGUAGGAUCAGAUCUUGGUAAAAAAAUGUAUUUUGUCGGGUUUGCUGGGUUUCGGGUUCGGAGACUACCGAAACGGGUGCAAACCCACGAAACGUGUCGGGUUGUAUAAUGUACCCAACAACAGCCCCGCGGGGAUGAAAAGACGCCCAUCCCCGUCCCCUAAUAGGGUAAAAACCCACGGGGAAGUGGGUUUCGGGGCCCCAUUGCCAUCUUGAUUCAUGACAACACGGCAUUUGAUAACUGCGGGAGAACCCUGAAACUUGCCCUGCGCUUUGGUCUCCACUCUCCAAGACAGUUGUGGGAUGUCGUUGAACCGCUGGCCAUACAAACAGAAGGUACAUACCAAAGCGACUUUGCCGCUCAAUCCAAAAUUACACUUGCAAGUAACUCCACCAAACAAAACAUACCAAGGGAUUAGUUUCAUAAGAGUAUUAGAACUUUAGAAGAAAGCAAAUGUAAAGAUGAAAAUAUAUCAUUUCAUGUCAGCUAUAAAUAGCCAUACAUCAUGAAGACCCCCUUCCAUCAUCCAUCCUUCACAUAUUUAGAGCGCAAGCAUCCAAACUAAACAGUCAAGCGUAACCACAAAUCCACCAUGAAGAUCUUCUUGGUCUUUGCCCUCCUGGUUGCCACAACGAUCAGCAUCACCGCCACUGCGCAGCUCGACCCUAGCGUCCAUGACUUAGAAAGGCCACACCAAUCAUUUCCACAACAGCAGCCACUUCCCCCGCUACAACCAUUCCCGCCGCAAGAGCCAUAACAACCAUUUCCGUUGCAGCAACCACAACACCUGCAACAACAACCACUUCCCCAACAACAUCUAUUUCCGCAGCAACCGCCACAACAACAAUUUCCACAGCAACAACAAACAUUCCCGCAACCUCAUCAACAACCACAAUUCCCGAAACAACAACCAUUUUACCAAUAUCAACAACCAUUUACACAACAACCAUAACCGAAAGAGCAACCAUUGGCACAACAACAACCUUGUGUAGAGGAAAGACAACGACUGAACUUGUGCAAGGAAUUCCUCUUGCAGCAGUGCAACCCGGAGGAGAAGGUGUCGUCACUCCAUUCGAUGAUCCCGUUCCUCUGACCAAAGACCUCGCAACAGAAUAGCUGCCAGUUGAAGCGACAAGAAUGCUGUCGCCAACUUGCACAUAUCCAUGAGCAGUCUUGAUGCCUGGCCAUCCAAAGCCCUGUGCAUGCCAUCAUCGUGCAACAACAACAACGACGACAACAACAACAGGUUGAUAGAGGUUUUGGCCAGCCUCAACCCACCACAAUUGGGCCAGGGAAUGCCCAUGCAACCUCAAUAGCCACUGGGCCAGGGCUUUAUCCUACCUCAGCAACUAGCCCAGUUUAAGUUGGUUAGGUCACUUGCGAUUCAGAUCCUGCCUAUGUUAUGCAACGUGCAUGUCCCGUCUGAUUGCUACACCAUUACUGCAUAUUUUGGUAGCAUGACUGCCUGCAGCUGUGGACAAUGAAAUGACAAGAGUUGUACUACCACACAGGUGGACCUUCAUUGUUUACUCGAUUGGACAAUCG
rnacentral:lncRNA from 1 species